rnacentral:rRNA from 1 species
UACGUAGGGGGCAAGCGUUGUCCGGAAUUAUUGGGCGUAAAGCGCGCGCAGGCGGUUAGUUAAGUCUGGUGUCUAAUCUUGGGGCUCAACCUCAGGACGCAUUGGAAACUGGGUAACUGGAGUGUAGGAGAGGGAAGUGGAAUUCCACGUGUAGCGGUGAAAUGCGUAGAUAUGUGGAGGAACACCAGUGGCGAAGGCGACUUUCUGGCCUAUAACUGACGCUGAGGCGCGAAAGCGUGGGGAGCAAACAGG